rnacentral:ncRNA from 2 species
UUCGAAGCAAGCUGUAGUGAAUAUUUAACUCCAACUGGAGGAAGUCCAGUAGAGACUGUUGAUUCCGAUGAAAAGGCAACAUUGCCGAAGCAGCACGGUAUACUGACCGUGCCCGGCUGGGGCCGUUUCCGAAAGGAGCGGAACUGUCAUACUGCCCAAUCCAAAACAGUAUGUUGUGCUAUCUUGAUA